rnacentral:rRNA from 1 species
CACAAGCGGUGGAGCAUGUGGUUUAAUUCGACGCAACGCGCAGAACCUUACCAGCCCUUGACAUGUCCAGGACCGGUCGCAGAGAUGUGACCCUCUCUUCGGAGCCUGGAACACAGGUGCUGCAUGGCUGUCGUCAGCUCGUGUCGUGAGAUGUUGGGUUAAGUCCCGCAACGAGCGCAACCCCCGUCCUUAGUUGCUACCAUUUAGUUGAGCACUCUAAGGAGACUGCCGGUGAUAAGCCGCGAGGAAGGUGGGGAUGACGUCAAGUCCUCAUGGCCCUUACGGGCUGGGCUACACACGUGCUACAAUGGCGGUGACAAUGGGAUGCUAAGGGGCGACCCUUCGCAAAUCUCAAAAAGCCGUCUCAGUUCGGAUUGGGCUCUGCAACUCGAGCCCAUGAAGUUGGAAUCGCUAGUAAUCGUGGAUCAGCACGCCACGGUGAAUACGUUCCCGGGCCUUGUACACACCGCCCGUCACACCAUGGGAGUUGGUUUUACCUGAAGACGGUGCGCUAACCCGCAAGGGAGGCAGCCGGCCACGGUAGGGUCAGCGACUGGGGUGAAGUCGUAACAAGGUAUCCGUA